rnacentral:rRNA from 1 species
AGACAAUAGAUACCCAGGUAGUCCACGCCGUAAACGAUGCGCACUAGACCGGUGCGGCUCUGAUGCCGUAUCGGUCGUAGUAAAAACGUUAAGUGCGCCGCCUGGGGAGUACGGUCGCAAGGCUAAAACUCAAGGGAAUUGACGGGGGCUCACACAAGCGGUGGAGCAUGUUGCUUAAUUCGAGGCAACGCGAAGAACCUUACCUAGUCUUGACAUGCUUGGAUUAACUCCUUGAAAGAGGAGCCACACCCGCAAGGGUGGAACAAGCACAGGUGCUGCAUGGCUGUCGUCAGCUCGUGCUGUGAAGUGUCGGGUUAAGUCCCUUAACGAGCGCAACCCCGUAUCGUUAGUUGCCCACGGGUCAUGCCGGGUACUCUAGCGAGACUGCCGGUGUCAAACCGGAGGAAGGUGGGGAUGACGUCAAGUCCUCAUGGCCUUUAUGACUAGGGUUGCAAACGUGCUACAAUGGUGCGUACAAAGCGAUGCAAGACAGCGAUGUGGAGCAAAUCGCAAAAACGCGCACCCCGAGUUC